rnacentral:rRNA from 1 species
CAGCCGCCGCGGGAAUACGUAGGGUGCAAGCGUUAAUCGGAAUUACUGGCGUAAAGCGUGCGCAGGCGGUUUGUUAAGACAGAUGUGAAAUCCCCGGGCUCAACCUGGGAACUGCAUUUGUGACUGGCAAGCUAGAGUCUGGCAGAGGGGGGUGGAAUUCCGCGUGUAGCGGUGAAAUGCGUAGAGAUCGGGAGGAACAUCAGUGGCGAAGGCGGCCAUCUGGGACAACACUGACGCUGAGGCACGAAAGCGUGGGGAGCAAACAGGAUUAGAUACCCCCGUAGUCCCUGUCUCUUAUACA